UCAAGCAACUAAGCGCAUACGGUGGAUGCCUUGGCAGUCAGAGGCGAUGAAAGACGUGGAAGCCUGCGAUAAGGUUCGGGGAGCUGGCAAACGAGCUGUGAUCCGGACAUUUCUGAAUGGGGAAACCCACCCGAUUUCGGUCGGGUACCUUGCACUGAAUACAUAGGUGUAAGGGGCGAACCGGGGGAACUGAAACAUCUAAGUACCCCGAGGAAAAGAAAUCAACCGAGAUUCCCUAAGUAGCGGCGAGCGAACGGGGAUUAGCCCUUAAGCUAAACAACUGGUAGGAGAAGGCUCUGGAAAGUGCCGCCAUAGUGGGUGAUAGCCCCGUAUCCGAAACCUGAGUUUAGUGAAAUCGAGUAGGACGGGACACGUGGUAUCCUGUCUGAAUAUGGGGGGACCAUCCUCCAAGGCUAAAUACUCCUGACUGACCGAUAGUGAACCAGUACCGUGAGGGAAAGGCGAAAAGAACCCCUGUGAGGGGAGUGAAAUAGAUCCUGAAACCGUAUGCGUACAAGCAGUCGGAGCAGACUUGUUCUGUGACGGCGUACCUUUUGUAUAAUGGGUCAGCGACUUAUGUUCAGUGGCGAGGUUAACCGUUUAGGGGAGCCGUAGGGAAACCGAGUCUGAAUAGGGCGAUUUAGUCGCUGGGCAUAGACCCGAAACCGGGCGAUCUAUCCAUGAGCAGGUUGAAGGUUGAGUAACAUCAACUGGAGGACCGAACCCACUGUCUUUGAAAAGCCAGGGGAUGACUUGUGGAUCGGAGUGAAAGGCUAAUCAAGCCCGGAGAUAGCUGGUUCUCCUCGAAAUCUAUUUAGGUAGAGCGUCGAUCGAAUACUCUUGGGGGUAGAGCACUGACUGGGCUAGGGGUCCUCACCGGAUUACCAAACCUUAUCAAACUCCGAAUACCAAGAAGUACUAAUCGGCAGACACACGGCGGGUGCUAACGUCCGUCGUGGAGAGGGAAACAACCCUGACCACCAAUUAAGGUCCCCAAAUAAUGGCUAAGUGUGAAAGGAUGUGGGAUUGCUUUGACAAUGAGGAGGUUGGCUUAGAAGCAGCCAUCCUUUAAAGAAAGCGUAACAGCUCACUCAUCAAGCGAUCCUGCGCCGAAAAUGUAACGGGGCUAAAGCCAUUUACCGAAAUUGUGGGCUCGAAAGAGCGGUAGCGGAGCGUUCCGUAAGCCUGCGAAGGUGCACUGCGAGGUGUGCUGGAGGUAUCGGAAGUGAGAAUGUUGACAUGAGUAGCGACAAAGCGGGUGAGAGACCCGCUCGCCGAAAAUCCAAGGGUUCCUGCGUAAAGCUAAUCUGCGCAGGGUUAGCCGGCCCCUAAGGCGAGGCCGAAAGGCGUAGCCGAUGGGAACCACGUUAAUAUUCGUGGGCCAGAUGGAAGUGACGGAUCUCGAAGAUUGUUCCUCCUUAUCGGAUUGGAGGGGCCGUUCAGAGGUUCCUGGAAAUAGCUCCAUCAUCAGACCGUACCCUAAACCGACACAGGUGGACUGGUAGAGAAUACCAAGGCGCUUGAGAGAACGAUGUUGAAGGAACUCGGCAAAAUACCUCCGUAAGUUCGCGAGAAGGAGGCCCGGUACACGACUACCGGGGGCACAAACCAGGGGGUGGCGACUGUUUAUUAAAAACACAGGGCUCUGCGAAGUCGCAAGACGACGUAUAGGGUCUGACGCCUGCCCGGUGCCGGAAGGUUAAAAGGAGAUGUGAGAGCGUCGAAUUGAAGCCCCGGUGAACGGCGGCCGUAACAAUAACGGUCCUAAGGUAGCGAAAUUCCUUGUCGGGUAAGUUCCGACCUGCACGAAUGG
rnacentral:rRNA from 1 species